AUAACGACUCUCGGCAACGGAUAUCUCGGCUCUCGCAUCGAUGAAGAACGCAGCGAAAUGCGAUACCUGGUGUGAAUUGCAGAAUCCCGUGAAUCAUCGAGUCUUUGAACGCAAGUUGCGCCCGAGGCCAUUAGGUCGAGGGCACGCCUGCCUGGGCGUCACG
rnacentral:rRNA from 1 species